rnacentral:rRNA from 1 species
AGUGAACGCUGGCGGUAGGCCUAACACAUGCAAGUCGAACGGCAGCACAGUAAGAGCUUGCUCUUACGGGUGGCGAGUGGCGGACGGGUGAGGAAUACAUCGGAAUCUACUUUUUCGUGGGGGUUCACGUAGGGAAACUUACGCUAAUACCGCAUACGACCUACGGGUGAAAGCAGGGGAUCUUCUGACCUUGCGCGAUUGAAUGAGCCGAUGUCGGAUUAGCUAGUUGGGGGGGUACAGGCCCACCAAGGGGACGAUCCGUAGCUGGUCUGAGAGGAUGAUCGGCGGCACUGGAGCUGGGACACGGUCAAGGCUCCUGCGGGAGGGAGCAGUGGGGAAUAUUGGACAAUGGGGGCAAGCCUGAUCCAGCCAUACCGCGUGGGUGGAGAAGGCCUUCGGGUUGUAAAGCCCUUUUGUUGGGAAAGAAAAGCAGCAGGUUAAUACCCCGCGGGUCUGACGGUACCCAAAGAAUAAGCACCGGCUAACUUCGUG